CCUACGGGGGACUGCAGUGAGGAAUAUUGGUCAAUGGGCGGAAGCCUGAACCAGCCAAGUCGCGUGAGGGAAUAAGGCCCUACGGGUCGUAAACCUCUUUUGCCGGGGAGCAAGGGCGGGGACGUGUCCCUGCCCGGAGCGUACCCGGCGAAAAAGCAUCGGCUAACUCCGUGCCAGCAGCCGCGGUAAUACGGAGGAUGCGAGCGUUCUCCGAUUUUAUUGGGUUUAAGGGGUGCGUAGGCGGGCUUUUAAGUCAGCGGUAAAAAUUCGGGGCUCAACUCCGUCCGGCCGUUGAAACUGGGGGCCUUGAGUGGGCGAGAGGAAGGCGGAAUGCGUGGUGUAGCGGUGAAAUGCUUAGAGAUCAUACAGAACACCGAUUGCGAAGGCAGCUUACCAAUCUAUAUCUGACGUUGAGGCACGAAAGCGUGGGGAGCAAACAGGAUUAGAUACCCCUGUAGUC
rnacentral:rRNA from 1 species